CGCUGAAUUUAAGCAUAUCACUAAGCGGAGGAAAAGAAACUAACCAGGAUUCCCCUAGUAACGGCGAGUGAAGAGGGAAAAGCCCAGCACCGAAGCCUGUGGCAAUUUUGCUGCUAGGCAAUGUGGUGUUUAGGUCGGCUCGUGGGAUCGCCACUCCACUCGAAGUCCAGCAUUGAGUAUGGUUCCCAGGAAUUGGCCCAUAGAGGGUGAAAGGCCCGUACGAGUGGAUGUGUCAGAUAUGUAAGGCGAUUCACCAGGCCGGCCUUAGAGUCGGGUUGUUUGCGAAUGCAGCCCAAAGUGGGUGGUAAACUCCAUCCAAGGCUAAAUACUAGCACGAGUCCGAUAGCGAACAAGUACCGUGAGGGAAAGUUGAAAAGUACUUUGAAGAGAGAGUAAACAGUACGUGAAACCGCAUAGAGGUAAACGGGUGGCGUCAAGCUGCAAGCCCAGAGAAUUCAGUCGGUCAGGGUGUUGUCAUGCGCCCAGCGCAUCUAUCAGUCGGUGUAGGAUUUGGCUAGUCCGCUUGAAGAUGGCGGGCCCAGCUAGCAAUAGCUGGGAUUUGCGUACCGGGCGGUAGCCGGAGCAUGCUAGCCGUCUGUAGGACUGCCUGGCCGAUGCACUUUCUCUGUUGGUGAACACCACGACCGGUGGUACUGCCAGUCUGCUGUAGCCAGCUUCGUUGCAUACUCUGGCCUUUUGGUUGGGGCGUGUGGCGAUCACAGACAAUUUCAGUGCACGGUGCUUGUGUGUUUUUCGCAUGCGGGCAUGUUAUCGGGAACUGGUUGUAAACGGGUCGGCCUGUCGACUUGUCUGUAGUCGUGGUUGAUGGGUGACCCGGUGGGCUAUGGUGGUAUGAAUAACUGUGCAGGGCACCGGAGUUUUCGGUCCGACCAGCAGUAGUCGUUCGCGGCUGCUGUUGCCGGCUGCAUACGCACUGCAGUUUAGCGUGUGCACUGUCUUUGGCAGUAGUACGGGCGGCGCUGUUUACGGCCUGCCAGUCGUUGGGUCUGAUUGUCGUGUCGCCUGCCAAAAUGGUGGGUCCGGCGGUGGCCUGGCGUUGGAUGGUGCCUGUAGACGGAGCUGUCGUUGUGCAGCCGGUAUUUGUGUGCGCGACCUUAUAGUCUGUGGUGUAGUGGUAGACGAGCUACCCGACCCGUCUUGAAACACGGACCAAGGAGUUUAACAUGCGCGCGAGUCAUUGGGUCCUACGAAACCCAGAGGCGCAGUGAAAGUAAAGCUUCGACAUAUAUUGUUCUCGGGGUGUGGUGAGAUCCUGCUGUUUCUCGCAUACAUUUGUCCAGCACUGGGCUAACUAAACGAGCAGUGGGCGCAUCACCGGCCCGUCCCAUGAUGUGGCUAUCUGUCAGUGGCAGUUGUCGCCUUACGGUGGUGGUUGCUUUCUGCGGGUACGUCAUCGGGGCGGAGCAUGAGCGCGCAUGUUGAGACCCGAAAGAUGGUGAACUAUGCUUGCGUAGGUUGAAGCCAGAGGAAACUCUGGUGGAGGACCGCAGCGAUUCUGACGUGCAAAUCGAUCGUCAAACGUGAGUAUAGGGGCGAAAGACUAAUCGAACCAUCUAGUAGCUGGUUCCCUCCGAAGUUU
rnacentral:rRNA from 1 species